CAUUCCAAAGGUUUUCGAUGGGGUUGAGGUCAGGGCUCUGUGCAGGCGAGUCAAGUUCUGCCACACCGAUCUCAGCAUUUCUGUAUGAACCUUGCUUUAUGCACAGGGGCAUUGUCAUGUUGAAACGGGAAAGGGCCUUCCCCAAACUGUUGCCACAGAGUUGGAAGCACAGAAUCAUCUAGAAUGUCAUUGUAUGCUGUAGCGUUAAAAUUACCAUUCACUGGAACUAAGGGGCCUAGCCUGAACCAUGAAAAACGGCCCCAAACCAUUAUUUCUCCUCCACCAAACUUUACAGUUGGCACUAUGCAUUGGGUCAGGUAGCGUUCUUCUGGCAUCUACCAAACCCAGAUUCAUCCAUCGGACCUCCAGAUGGUGAAGCAUGAUCACUCCAGAGAGUGCGUUUCCCAUGCUCCAGUCUAAUGGCUGCAAGCUCUACACCACUCCAGCCAACGCUUGGCAUUGCACAUGAUGAGUCUUGCCAUCGAUAGACAUCAGUCGGUUCGCCAAAUUGCUCAAGUUAUGUGGUUAAGAUUUGAUUUAUCUUGCAAUAUGACUUUUAUUUUCCUGUAUUUUGUUUCUUUGAAAUUAUUCAUUUAAUGUUUGUAAUCUUUUUUGAUGUACAAUGUUUUAUUUUACAUAGGAUCAGGGACUAUUGGUUUUGAUAACAGUUUUAUGUAGUUUGUGAGAUGAAUGUGUAACGAUGUGCGCUGAGAGUCGGGAAGCAAAUUCAGGGAGUGAGUGUUUUAAUAAAUAAACGCAACAUAAUACAUACCAAGAAACACGAACAACGCACAGACAUGAAACAGAAACAAUAACGCCUGAGGAAGGAACCAAAUGGAGUGACAUAUAUAAGGAACGUAAUCAGGGAAGUGAUGGGGUCCAGGCGUGUCUGAUGAUGCGCAGGUGCGCGUAACAAUGGUGACAGGUGUGCGCCAUAACGAGCAGCCUGGUGUCCAACAGGCUGGAGAGGGAGCACACGUGACAGAAUGGUGGAGCCUCAACUCCUCUAUUUCAGGGUAAAAGUGUAAAGACAAUAUGAAAACAUGGUACAUAUUGUAGCCUAUACGUUUUACUAUAUACACUUGUUGUAUUUUUACUGUCAGGUGUGUACUAUUGGGUGAUGAUCACACGUCUAUGCAAGUUAGUGGAUUACAAAUGUAUGGUAAAAAGGGUCCGGUCAGUUUAGUUUUAGUUAGCUUAGUUCAACAACACAACGUCUCUACUGUAUAUAAACUCUGCAUCAGCACUGUAACGAUUCAAUGUGCAUUCCAAAUGACACCCUAUUCCCGAUAGGGCUCUGGACAAAAGUAGUGCACUAUGUGCCCUGGUCAAAAGUAGUGCACUAUAAAGGGAUUAGAAUGUCAUUUUGGACGCAUCCUCAAUGAAGCUUACAGUAUAUCAUCUGGUCCCUGUGCCUGCUGGAUUUGCUCAUACAGAUGAUAUAAAGAACAGGUCAUCUACAAGUCCAAGAUUAAUUUUGAGCCUUGUGAACACCCCUCAUAUGUAGUUUCUGGCAAACCAUGGCUAUAUGUAACAUCAUGACAAUUCUCUUUUAUUCAAUUACUGUUUCUGUUUGAACCACAAAAUGGAUUUCAGCUAGCCUUAAUGCAGAUUAUUGAAAACACUGAUGAUACGUUAUGGAAUAAUCACCAAUAGACAUUAUUAUAAUAUAUUUUUUUAUGUUUCACUGUUUGCCCUUUAGUGGAAUUAAUGUGGUAGAAUGAAAAAGAGUAGUAUAUCUGCUGUAUCUAUACUAAUGUGACUGCACAGUUUUGAAUGGAAAAGGUAUUAUGUUUGUGACUCUGGUGUUAUUGUGUGAGACUACAGCACAUGGGUGAUGUGGGUGAAAACAUGAUUUAAGGGAUGUUUACAACAUUUAAUGCAUAGAAUGGUCCUUUGGAGGAAGGAUUGGUGACAUAUAUUUGGCAUUUGUAUCUAAAAGCAUAAUUGAGAAAUAAUUCAUCAAAGUUGGAAUAUUUAUGAAAUGUUGGUUUUACACAGGUCUCUUUUAAGACCACUUAUGUUAAUCUGUAGGUGCUACAAAGCAAACAUUGGUGGCAUAUGAAGCUUUACCGCUUGCUCUGUAAUGUGGUUAGUAUUUUGUUUUCAAUAACAAUUUUCUUGCAUUAAUUUAUGAAUACCGAAGAAUAAGUAUAUUUUUUGAUUUAGCAAUUUUUUAUAUAUAUUGUUGAACGUAAUAUACUCUAUGGACAUAUCAAAGUUCUCUGCUACUUUUAGAAUUAUUAUCCAAUUUGUAAGCAUUAA
rnacentral:lncRNA from 1 species